UAUAAUUUUUCUUUUUCACAGACUAUUUGUGACCUGGUUGCACGUAGAAAAUUUAUAGUUCUCGAGAUCAAGUCUAACAAGGAACCGGACAUAUAUAGAACAUCUACUUGGCGUCGCACUCAAGAAGUGGUGCAAAAAAUUACCUAAUGGUUUUCUACUCAAGACAGUGCAUUCGUCACAGUUAAAUUGAGUGACAGAACAACCACUUAUUUUCAUUUUUUAUAAGCAACUACUUCACUCAUAACCGAUACAUUUAUAAUAAAGAAAAAGCAUCUUGAACAUUCUAUUUUCUUCCGCCUCAGGUCAUUCUUAAAUAAUUUCUGAACUAGUUUUUAGUAUAAAACUGAAUUUAGCACCAAGAGAAGAAAUAUCGUUACUGAAGAGGGAACAAGUGCUUGAAGGCCUUUGGAAAUUGACGACCCCGGAUGUAUUUAUUUUAGAGGCUGCUUCAGGGACUGGAAGACAAAUUCGCGGUAACGCUAUAGGCGAAUAGAGGGGAAGAAAAUCGUAGAAAGUCUCGAGGUAUAUAUGAAGUAAAAUCAAUACUGAAACGCAACUGCCAAGUAAAGGAAAAAGAAAGGUGGCAUUUAUUUUGAAGAUUGAUGUGCGAAUUUACGAUAUACAAAAGUUUUUUUUUGUCGACAGUAGUAGUAGCAGCUUGUUUAUAAAGUAGACUACUACCGGAAAUACAUCAAGUAACUAAAAGGUCAUAAAAUCAAUCAAAACUUUUCUCUUGCGAAAAAAGCUUUUUACUUUAAAUGACACUUUUAAUUAAAGCUUAGGAAAGGAGAAGAAUUUACCGCUUUUUCAAAUAGACUCAUGAGAGUCAAAUUUUAUACAACACUAGGAUCUGGUUACAUGAGAUUGCUUGGAAUGGCUUUGCACUGGGUAGCAAAGUUAUGCUGGACUAGAAAUUUUUUUUACAUAUUAACAUCAUAGAGAAAGUAGAGCGAAUUUACCCUUUGUUGUUUCUGGAAAGUUUACAACUCAAUUUGAGGUCGCUACUAACAAAUCAACACAACUUAUUUGAAACAACUACUGUGUAUAAAAUUAUAAACCAUUGUCAAGUUUUUGUAAAAUUUUUUUUCCGUUUGUUUCAUGAUAACUUUUCCUUAAUCAUAGAAAUAGAAAUUAGAACCUACAUAAAAAAAUUAAAAAGUUUAAAGCCUAAAACUAAGGGGUAUAAUUAAUUUGUCAAUAUUUAAAUGUCAAUAAAAUUUUUUGCAAGUAG